rnacentral:rRNA from 1 species
AACAGGAUUAGAUACCCUGGUAGUCCACGCCGUAAACGAUGUCGACUUGGAGGUUGUGCCCUUGAGGCGUGGCUUCCGGAGCUAACGCGUUAAGUCGACCGCCUGGGGAGUACGGCCGCAAGGUUAAAACUCAAAUGAAUUGACGGGGGCCCGCACAAGCGGUGGAGCAUGUGGUUUAAUUCGAUGCAACGCGAAGAACCUUACCUGGUCUUGACAUCCACAGAACCUUCCAGAGAUGGAUUGGUGCCUUCGGGAACUGUGAGACAGGUGCUGCAUGGCUGUCGUCAGCUCGUGUUGUGAAAUGUUGGGUUAAGUCCCGCAACGAGCGCAACCCUUAUCCUUUGUUGCCAGCGGUCCGGCCGGGAACUCAAAGGAGACUGCCAGUGAUAAACUGGAGGAAGGUGGGGAUGACGUCAAGUCAUCAUGGCCCUUACGACCAGGGCUACACACGUGCUACAAUGGCGCAUACAAAGAGAAGCGACCUCGCGAGAGCAAGCGGACCUCAUAAAGUGCGUCGUAGUCCGGAUUGGAGUCUGCAACUCGACUCCAUGAAGUCGGAAUCGCUAGUAAUCGUGGAUCAGAAUGCCACGGUGAAUACGUUCCCGGGCCUUGUACACACCGCCCGUCACACCAUGGGAGUGGGUUGCAAAAGAAGUAGGUAGCUUAACCUUCGGGAGGGCGCUUACCACUUUGUGAUUCAUGACUGGGGUGAAGUCGUAACAAGGUAACC